rnacentral:lncRNA from 1 species
CCAAGUUUAAAACUAAUUUUACUCUCCAAUCUAGUGAAACUAGUAACCAUAAUUACACCCAUUUAAUAUACAUUUUGUUCCAUAAAAUCAACUCCCAAGUGAAAUAUUCUAUUUAUAUAAUCAUUUUCACAAUUAAUUAAUCAAAAUCCCAAAAUCGGAUUCUAGGGUUUCCCCAAAAAAAAUUGAAAUCUCGUUACCUUAAUGUAGAUAGAAAUUUAAGAAUCAAUAAUUUGAGAUCCAAGUAGUAUUCAUCUCAACAAAUUUGAAAAUUUCUAGCCAAAAUAAAACCCUAGAAUUUUAACAUAAAAUUUAUCUACCUCUUGAAGAAAAUAAAGAGAAAGGAAAAAUGAAAAUAGACCUUGAACUACCUCUUUCCUUUCUUCUUCUUCUUCCUCUUCCUUUUUCCUUUUUCUCCUUCUUUUUCUUCCCUUUCUUUCCCUUUUUCUUUCCUUUUCUCUUUUCUACC